rnacentral:rRNA from 1 species
CAGUCGCCACGGGAAUACGGAGGGUGCAAGCGUUAAUCGGAAUUACUGGGCGUAAAGCGCACGCAGGCGGUUUGUUAAGUCAGAUGUGAAAUCCCCGAGCUUAACUUGGGAACUGCAUUUGAAACUGGCAAGCUAGAGUCUCGUAGAGGGGGGUAGGAUUCCAGGUGUAGCGGUGAAAUGCGUAGAGAUCUGGAGGAAUACCGGUGGCGAAGGCGGCCCCCUGGACAAAGACUGACGCUCAGGUGCGAAAGCGUGGGGAGCAAACAGGAUUAGAUACCCGCGUAGUCCCUGUCUCUUAUAC